UACAGAGGGUGCAAGCGUUAAUCGGAAUUACUGGGCGUAAAGCGUGCGCAGACGGUUGCGUAAGUCAGAUGUGAAAGCCCCGGGCUCAACCUGGGAACUGCACUUGUGACUGCACGGCUAGAGUACGGUAGAGGGGGAUGGAAUUCCGCGUGUAGCAGUGAAAUGCGUAGAUAUGCGGAGGAACACCGAUGGCGAAGGCAAUCCCCUGGGCCUGCACUGACGCUCAUGCACGAAAGCGUGGGGAGCAAACAGG
rnacentral:rRNA from 1 species